GCACCUGGCAAAGUGAUGUUUUGGGAUUGACUGGCGGCCAUUUCGUUCACAAAUUUGUUUGCGCCAGUUUUUGGAGUUCUUAGUUUUGAGGCGUUUUUGCGUUAUUGGAAAAAAUCAGCAUGAGGAGAGACAACGGCAAUGAUGGUUUGGAACCUGAACAGUUCCGCAAACUAUUCAUUGGUGGUCUGGACUAUCAUACGACUGAUGAGUCAUUGAAGAAGCACUUUGAGCAAUGGGGCGAAAUUGUUGACGUGGUGGUGAUGAAGGAUCCGACCACAAAGCGAAGCCGCGGCUUUGGUUUUAUCACCUAUUCCAGUGCUCAGAUGGUGGACGAUGCCCAGAAAGCCCGACCUCAUAAAGUUGAUGGCCGGGUGGUGGAACCCAAAAGGGCGGUACCGCGCCAGGAGAUUGGACGACCCGAGGCCGGCGCUACCGUGAAAAAGCUUUUCGUCGGCGGCCUUAAAGAAGACAUUGAAGAAGAGGACCUGAAAGACUACUUCAAAACGUUUGGAAACAUUUUAUCCUGCAGCAUUGUGGUGGACAAGGAAACGAGGAAGAAGCGCGGCUUUGCCUUUAUUGAGUUCGAAGAUUACGACUCGGUAGAUAAAAUCGUCUUAAAACGCUCCCAUACGAUCAAAAACAAGGUGGUUGAUGUGAAAAAGGCCCUAAACAAAAUUGACAUGCAACAAGGCGGCCAAGUGGGCGGCUCCAUGGGGCGUGGUGGACAUAGAGGAGGUGGACGAGGCGGCCGCAGUAACAAUCAAGGUGGUGGUCAUCAAGGAGGUGGAGGAGGAGGAUAUGGGGCUCCUCAGCCUGGACCUUGGGGAGGCCAACAAGGCGACAACAACUGGGGUGGUAACCAAGGGGGCGGUUGGGGAGGCGCUCAAGGCGGCCAACAAAAUUCGUGGGGAGGCAGCGGAGGGUGGGAUCAAUCUCAACAGCCUUGGGGCCCACCCGCCCAGCAAUCCUACAAUCAGAGUCCCUCUGGUGGAUACAACACCGGAACUAGCGGAGGUGGUUGGGGAGGACAGGCUCAAACCCCCAGUUCGGGUAAUUUUAGCAACAGCUAUCAACAAGGCUACAGUGGAGGGGCCGUGAGGAAUAAUUAUCAGCAGCAAAGGCCUGCGCCUUAUAACUCAGGUGGUUAUGGGGGCGGCAGUAACUACCAGCAAGGUUCAGGGGGCGGCGGCCGCAGAUAUUAAGCCUCCUACUUAAUGCCAACGUUUCGGAACUGUUGCUGAUAAUGGAACUGGUUCGUAGAUGAUUACCAUUGAUCCAGAUUACAAACAAGCACUUACUUGGUGCGAAUUGCGGCGCCUCCGCUUUAGCGGCCAGCUCUUUGGGCUCUUUGGGUUCCAAGUGGCCGUAAAGCUUCUGGAAAAAUUCCCUAGGGCUGGAGGGUUGAUGGUUCUUUUGCUUCAUGAGGGCCGCCGUGGGAACCAUUGCCUAAACACCACGAAAUUGGCACCAGAAUAACCGCAUAGAACGCAAAGAUUGAAGGCAGGCACAGCUGGCGGGCGUUCACAGAAUGGGGGAGGGCAUGAUCCAAUAAGGACUUAAAAAAUCAUCGCGCUUCAGUGACUGAGGUCGACUGUUAGUGGACAACUAAAACAGCUUUAAACUGUAUCUGAACAGUUUAUUUCUGGAAAUAAACGACAGUAAAGUACA